rnacentral:ncRNA from 1 species
CUGCGGGACCGACUCCGGUCGGUUUCGCAGCAAAAGCCAGAACCGCAGCCCACAAAGCCGCGGUUCAUACUCGAAAAAUAUGACGACCAGCAGGGGCAUCCGGGCUGGUACCCGGGCUAUCUGCGGGAACCCAAGUGGCUGUAUCCGAGUCGCAGCAUCAUGACUUCGAUCGGGCCAUGCGGUUUUCACGCCGGUGGUGUCCCCUUACCGAGGGUGACCA